GAUGAACGCUAGCGGCAGGCUUAAUACAUGCAAGUCGAGGGGCAGCAUGGUUGUAGCAAUACAACUGAUGGCGACCGGCAAACGGGUGCGGAACACGUACGCAAUCUACCCAGAACUGAUGAAUAGCCCUCCGAAAGGAGGAUUAAUACAUCGUAACAUAAUUGAAUGGCAUCAUUUAAUUAUUAUAGCUCCGGCGGUUUUGGAUGAGCGUGCGCCUGAUUAGGUAGUUGGCGGGGUAACGGCCCACCAAGCCUGCGAUCAGUAACUGGUGUGAGAGCACGACCAGUCACACGGGCACUGAGACACGGGCCCGACUCCUACGGGAGGCAGCAGUAAGGAAUAUUGGUCAAUGACGCAAGUCUGAACCAGCCAUGCCGCGUGAAGGAUGAAGGUCCUCUGGAUUGUAAACUUCUUUUAUGUGGGACAAACCCUGGUAUUCUUACCAGAUUGACGGUACCAUAGGAAUAAGCACCGGCUAACUCCGUGCC
rnacentral:rRNA from 1 species